rnacentral:lncRNA from 1 species
CUGACCUUGACCAGCAGCCCUGCCUCUUUCGGCCUCUACUGUAAUCACGCAAGGCCUGGCCUCGGAUAUUUGUAACAUGCUUUCAUUCAUUCAUGCAUUCAUUUCGGCAACGUCCUUGAGGCUGAAAGGACCUUAUAGAGGCCUCCAGUGAAGCUCCGGAGAGGGAGAGAGUGGGAGAGAAGGUUAGGAGGACCCAAAUCAUCAGGGCCUUGCAGGAUAGGGACUUGGGGUUUUCUUCUGUAUCUGCACUGUCCAGCCAGUAUGGUAACUGCCGGCCACACAUGUGGCUGUUGAACACUUGAAAGGUGACUAGUCCAAUUGAGAUGUGUUGUAAAAUACACACGAGUAUAGUGACUUAGUAUGAAAAAAGGAUGUAAAAUAGCUCAUUAAGAGCUUUUAUAUUGAUUACAUGUUGCAGUGAUUAUUUUUGAUAUAUUGGGUCACAUGAAAUAUAUUAAAUAUAAAUUUAAAUUUUUCAAUUAAAAUUUCUCUCGUUUUUACUUUUUUUCUUAUGUGGCUACUAGAAAAUUUGAAAUUACAUAUGUGGCUCUCAUGAUUUUUGGUCAGCACUGCUCUAGGGGAAUGUGAAGCUCUUGUUUUAAUCAGUGGAGUGAUCUGACUUAUGUUUUAGGAAGAUCAAAUUAAGAUUUCUGAUUUGUCUUGGCUCGUUUGAGAAACCUUUCUCCCUGCCCAGGUGAGCCAGAGACUGAGGGUUUCUACUUUCAGGACACGCAUUCUCAAGUUCAGGCCUCAGUAAAUUUUUAUUCAGGAGUGGAACAAAGUUGGAGUCAAGUAUAAUGCAACAAACAGUUAUUGAACUCAUAGCUUGAGCAGAGCUCUGUGCAAGUACAGGUCUGAUCAGAUGAUUGACAGGGUGUCUUUCUCAGGAAGUCUUAGGCUGGUAAUGUCUAUUAUAGGAAGUUUACUACCAAUAAAUUUUUUGUGUCUCACUUGUAAGGCAUGGUGCACGUACUACACUGCUGAUGUCGUGUACUUAGAAGAUGUGCGCUCAUAGCCCUUUCCCUCCAAAGAAAGCACCUGGACUACAACUUGAUUGAGGCCUCGCCAAUUUGUGAGACUAGAACAAAUAAGAUAAAGUAUAUGAGAGUUCUUUUUAUAAUAAACAUAGGGUGUUCAUAUUAGGAAUGACGUACAAGGUGGACUCCUGGGAAAAACAUCUACGCUCCCUUCUCCCUUGCCCUUCUCUCAAAAAGCAGGUACAUCUGUGUUUGGAACUUUUAAGUCCUAAGAGCAACUCUGGGGUGUUUAUGAGGGAAUGAGUGGAAUGUGGGGAAUACUAGACUCCCACGUCUUUAUUGCUACCAGAUGAAGCUAGGCCAGCAAAAGGUGGUGCUUACCUUAUGACUCUUAAAUUGGGAUGGGAUUGGAGCAGGGGAGGUGCACUUUCCUCAGAUUUGGCUUUUUCUAACUUGCGAAUGUCACUCAGAAAAGUUGUUCAUUUAUGAGUUCCACAAAAUUUGUUAGUCAUCAAAUAAUAGAGUUUUUCUUAAGUGACCACUUACAUACUCAUCUACAAUAAACCCCAACUAACUAAUUUUUCACUUUGUGUACCUCAUGCUAAUAUCCGUGGACAGUAAUGUGCCUGUUGUGUUCCUUUUGCUUUUCAUCCUUGUGAUCUUAUGUCACAUGGAAUGUAAAGGCCACAUAUAUAUAUGUGUGUGUGUGUGUGUGUAUAUGUAUAUUUUUAAGAAUAUUUAGUCUGGAUUUCAUGAAAUUGACUUCUGAA